CGCAGGGUCAGGCGGGCCUGGCUUUGUGUGCGCGCGCAUAUUUACAUGCGACCGUUGGUGACUCGGUUAGGGACUUGAGGCUAACAGACAGCCGGACAGCCCCAGCCCCGGUCCCUCUUACAUUUAUGCCCCCAGCCCAGGCGGACUUGUGCCCCCAGGGCUCAGGAGGCUGGCGGCAGAAGGCAGCGCAUCCCCGCCUAAGGAACCCCACAGCCAGCUCUGCUCAUCAUACUGCUCCUCUCCCAUAAAAACGGGAACCCCUAACUUCUUCAAAGAUCACAGCUCAGAUCCAGGUACCAGAUGUGGCCUCUUACUGCGAGAUUUAGCCAGCUCUAGUAUCCUUUACAGCUGCUGCUCCUCCUGUUUUCCCACGAUGAUGACCUGUUCUUCAUGAUGUCAUCAGCCUUCCCCCACGGAUUCCUCUACAGGACUGAACCAAAGUUGACCAGAGUUGCUCCGCGGACUUCCAGUCUCUGGUUCUGAAUCCAGGACCGGCUCUCAAACCAAACAGGACAGACGUGCCCUCAGGAACUUGCAUUGUCCGCGGAUGCACUGCACUCACUACCAAGGAGACCAAGAUCUGCGGCUCUGCUGGUCCUACCCACAGCCAGAGAUGCUCUAGCCCUUAGUCCCAGCCCCUCCGUUCCAGUGCUGCCCACACAGAUAUCGUGGCCCUACCUUACCCUGGGCCAGCUGGCUACGACAGACUCUUCCGUCUCCAGAUGCCAGGCCUUCAGCACUGCCCUCUGGUUUGGUAGAGAGCUCCUUCGGGGAAAGCAGAUGGCCCGACAGGGAUUAGAAACUAAGACUGCCCAGACACAUCCCAAGUGCGGCCCUGGCUGCUUUGGGCCUGGCCCUAUCUCAGCAGUGCCGUCUCCCUGGAGAGCUGGAUACAGCCCUGUCCAGUGCCCCUACUCACUCCUUGAGCUCCACCUUCUCAUACUUGACCUUCCAGGAAGUAGCCCUGGAGCCAAAACAGGGGAUCACAGGUCACCGUGGAGACCCGCUGUGGUCCCACAUCCUUCCUGGCUCUUGUCAGAUGGCUUCUGUAGCUUCUCCAUGCAUAAUGUAGAGCUGUUCGGUGUUUUUCAGGCAGGCGCAGUCUGCCGGACUCCUAGGGGGCCAGGGUCUGCUUUGCCGACUUGUUUUGAGAGGAGCUACCAGGUAAACAAGACCCCAGCAACAUGGGGAUGGUGCUUCUUCAACCCUAGCUCCAGGGGCAUAUUUAAAUGCCACUUACAGGACAUAGAGGACCGUGUUUGUCAGGGGAACACUAGAGACGAAGGGGGCCGCAAGGCAAAGGGGAGACCUUCCCUUUUCUCAGCCUCAGCAAUGUUCCCACAGCUUCCAGGUGGGCAGGUAUGAAGAUCAAGAGAAAUCAGAUGGUGGGGAACCAAAGUAUCAUGGUGUCCAAAGGGAAGCAGACAAGGUGUGGACCAAAAAUGCCAAGUGCAAAAGUAUGCUUCGGGUCAUUUCAGAAAUUGUCAGAAAUUCUGUCCUAAUGCCUACCCCAAAGUCAUUGAAUGAUUUUUUUUUUCCAAAAGGGCAACCAUAAACUUUUAUCUGCUCUGCUGUUCAUUUGAUCUGAACACGAAUCUCUGAUUAAUGGACUGGGGCCACAGUCAGGCCCAUUUGGCCAACAUAUAUUUGAAUGCUAGCUCCUUUCUCUUGGCCUUACCAAGAAAUCCAGCAUUAGCUUGUUCUAGCAUUCCCAGCUCGCCCGCCUUCUCCUUGUACUAUAGUUUCAUUACCCCCAAGCUGAGCCUGUGAAGCUGUGACAGUCAGGACACUGUUAACUGCUUCUCAAAGUCAAGGAGACUGGGCUGUAGGUGGCCUUGCAGUCCAUGGCGAACGAGGCUAGAACCCACUUCAGCAGGUAUCCCAGCUGCUAAUCACGUAAGCCUGGCUCUGCUUCUCAGGCCAGAGCAGACUGGCACUCUGAAUCUCCUAAGUGAUGAAGCCAAAUGCCUGAAGACAAUGGCCUAUACCCAGAACAGUCAUGAGGCUUCAAGACUCUAGCAUUUAGUUCUUAGGAAAGCAUCCUCUAGGGCUUGCUUUCUGAUACAUAAAACAGCUCUGUAGAAUCCGUUGAAGGAAGGGUUCA